GAGCCAGUGGCUCAAUGGUUAGAGCGUUUGACUUCUGAACAACGGGUCGCGGUUCAAAUCCUUGGGUUA
rnacentral:tRNA from 1 species